rnacentral:tRNA from 1 species
UGGAGGGUAAUUUAAUCUGGAAAAAUAGCAGUCUGCAAAACUGAAGAAUGCGGGUUCGAGGCCCUGCCCCUCCAC